GUGCUUGCUUUGGCAGCACAUGUAUUAAAAUUGGAACGAUACAGAGAAGAUUAGCAUGGCUCCUGUGCAAGGAUGACACGCAAAUUCCUGAAGCCUUCCACAUUUUU
rnacentral:snRNA from 10 species